CCUUCGAUAGCUCAGUUGGUAGAGCGGAGGACUGUAGAUCCUUAGGUCGCUGAUUCGAAUCCGGCUGGAAACA
rnacentral:tRNA from 1 species